ACUCAGUCUAUAUACCGCCAUCUUCAGCAAACCCUAAAAAGGAAUGAAAGUAAGCAUAACUAUCCUACGUAAAAACGUUAGGUCAAGGUGUAACCCAUGGGAUGGGAAGAAAUGGGCUACAUUUUCUACACCAUAGAACACCCUAUACCCCACGAAAGUUUUUAUGAAACCUAAAAACCAAAGGAGGAUUUAGCAGUAAAUUAAGAACAGAGUGCUUAAUUGAAUAA
rnacentral:rRNA from 1 species